CCAAUAGCGUAUAUUAAAGUUGUUGCAGUUAAAAAGCUCGUAGUUGAAUUUCGGGAUCAAUAUAUCGGUCGUGCCUUUGGUACGUACUGGUAUCAUUGGUUUCUCCUUUCUGACAAACCAUGAUGUCAUUAAUUUGGUGUUAUGGGGAGUUAGAACUGUUACUUUGAAAAAAUUAGAGUGUUUAAAGCAGGCUUUAGCUUGAAUACAUUAGCAUGGAAUAAUGAAAUAGGACGUUCGAACCUAUUUUGUUGGUUUCUAGGAUCAACGUAAUGAUUAAUAGGGAUAGUUGGGGGCAUUAGUAUUCAAUUGUCAGAGGUGAAAUUCUUGGAUUUAUUGAAGACUAACUACUGCGAAAGCAUUUGCCAAGGAUGUUUUCAUUAAUCAAGAACGAAAGUUAGGGGAUCGAAGACGAUCAGAUACCGUCGUAGUCUUAACCAUAAACUAUGCCGACUAGGGAUCGGAUGAUGUUAAUUUUUUAAUGACUCAUUCGGCGCCUUACG
rnacentral:rRNA from 1 species